GACGAACGCUGGCGGCGUGCUUAACACAUGCAAGUCGAACGGUAAGGCCCUUCGGGGUACACGAGUGGCGAACGGGUGAGUAACACGGGGGUGAUCUGCCCUGCACUUCGGGAUAAGCCGGGGAAACUGGGUCUAAUACCGGAUAGGACCCUGGGAUGCAUGUCCUGGGGUGGAAAGCUUUUGCGGGGUGGGAUGGGCCCGCGGCCUAUCAGCUUGUUGGUGGGGUGAUGGCCUACCAAGGCGACGACGGGUAGCCGGCCUGAGAGGGUGACCGGCCACACUGGGACUGAGAUACGGCCCAGACUCCUACGGGAGGCAGCAGUGGGGAAUAUUGCACAAUGGGCGCAAGCCUGAUGCAGCGACGCCGCGUGAGGGAUGACGGCCUUCGGGUUGUAACCUCUUUCAGCACCGACGAAGCGCAAGUGACGGUAGGUGCAGAAGAAGGACCGGCCAACUACGUGCCAGCCGCCGCAGUAA
rnacentral:rRNA from 1 species